rnacentral:rRNA from 1 species
CACGUAGGGGCCGAGCGUUGUCCGGAGUUACUGGGCGUAAAGGGCGCGCAGGCGGUCAUUCGCAUCCACGGUGAAAGCCCCGGGCUUAACCCGGGAGGGUCCGUGGAGAUGGGGUGACUGGAGGCAGGGCGAGGCCGGUGGAAUUCCGGGUGUAGUGGUGAAAUGCGUAGAGAUCCGGAGGAACACCAGUGGCGAAGGCGGCCGGCUGGACCUGACCUGACGCUGAGGCGCGAAGGCGUGGGGAGCGAACGGG